GAUGAACGCUGGCGGCGUGCCUAAUACAUGCAAGUCGAGCGAACAGACGAGGAGCUUGCUCCUUCGACGUUAGCGGCGGACGGGUGAGUAACAAGUAGGUAACCUACCUAUAAGACUGGGAUAACUUCGGGAAAACGGAGCUAAUAACGGCGAAUAUUUCGAACCGCAUGGUUCGAUAGUGAAAGAUGGCUUUGCUGUCUCUUUUAGAUGGACCUGCGCCGUAUUAGCUAGUUGGUAAGGUAACGGCUUACCAAGGCAACGAUCCGUAGCCGAUCUGAGAGGGUGAUCGGCCACACUGGAACUGAGACACGGUCCAGACUCCUACGGGAGGCAGCAGUGGGGAAUCUUGCGCAAUGGGCGCAAGCCUGACGGAGCAACGCCGCGUGAGUGAUGAAGGUCUUCGGAUCGUAAAACUCUUUUAUUAGGGAAGAACAAACGUGUAAGUAACUGUGCACGUCUUGACGGUACCUAAUCAGAAAGCCACGGCUAACUACGUG
rnacentral:rRNA from 1 species